CUCGUCCUGGCUGCCCAGGAAGUAGUGUCUUCUUUUGCAAGCUGGGGGAGGGGGUUAAAGAUGCUGGCGCUGCCCUCUAGCCGGCUGCUGGGGAGAUCAAAGGAGAUUCGGGCUGUGGAAGGCUCCCUAGCGUCGGAGAUGGAGUUAGGAGAGGGCGCCAAAGGCGACGUGCCGGCGGCCAGCUCCAGGCCGAGCCCCGAGCGCCUGCAGGAACAGGCCCCUUCACCCGGCGCGGGACGCAGAGCAGCGCGAGAAUGUUGUUUCAGUGCGGACUCAACGCCAGGGCGCCGCCUAGAGGUUGGUCUCUGUCUCGUCCUCACCCGCCGGGAGACCACAGAGCUGCUUCACCAGCCGCCCGCCGCCAGAAAUUGAAAAAACAA
rnacentral:lncRNA from 1 species